rnacentral:rRNA from 1 species
UACGUAGGGGGCUAGCGUUGUCCGGAAUCAUUGGGCGUAAAGCGCGUGUAGGCGGUCCGGUAAGUCCGCUGUGAAAGUCGAGGGCUCAACCCUCGAAUGCCGGCGGAUACUGUCGGGCUAGAAUCCGGAAGAGGCGAGUAGAAUUCCUGGUGUAGCGGUGAAAUGCGCAGAUAUCUGGAGGAACACCGAUGGCGAAGGCAGCUCGCUGGGACGGUAUUGACGCUGAGACGCGAAAGCGUGGGGAGCAAACAGG